CGAAUUAACUUUAUAUAAUCUAAGUUUACUGCUUCUUUUAUUUUUAAAGUUGCAAUAACAGUUUAACCGUAUUAUUAAUAAAUAUAUAGAAUAUAUUUAAAUAACACCUUAAUUAGAUUAAUGAAAAUGAUUAAAAGAUAUAAGAUAUUUUUUAAAUUACGUUGUUAAAAAUUUUAUUGACUGCUAUUCCCGACGAUAUAUCCCACAAUAUAAUAUACCCAUCGUGACUUGCACUAAUCAUCAAAUUAGGAUCUUUGGGAUGUUGUUCUAAUACAAAUAUGUCGUCUGAAAUGAAUAUGAAAUUAUUUGGGCGAAAAAUGUAUUAUCCCUUCGAUCCAAUUCUCGAAUUGAAUUAUUCGUGAAAUAUGAAUCGAAUAAUCCGUUUUAAGUAAUAGUUAUGAUAUAAUGGCCUGUGCGAUCAAAACAAACGCAAUAAACGGAAGAUAAAUGACCCAAAAUACAGUGAAAUUUAUGAUAUACAAAUCGGUACAGAAAUUCAGAAUUAGAUGACACACUUAAACCUGACGCAAAAAAAGAUCAUCGACCAUAAAAUCCGAUGAUGAUCGCUCUCUUAAUUUAAAAAAUUUAUAAUUUAAUACAAAGUCACCAUUUUUUUGGUCAAAUCAUAUUUUGAUGCUCACCUUAUCGACAGCGGCAAUAAAUUUAGACAAGUUGGCAUUUAAAUAUCUAUCAAAAUAUUUCAAGGACCAAAAGUUAACACAACGAAUUCAAGAUAUUUGGAAAAAAUUUGGAAUAUUAGCUUUUAAUCUAUCACAAUAAUCCCAAAAACGAUUCAAAUUCUAAACUAAGGAAAUAACUACAAAAUAAAGUUCAAACAAUAUAUUGUAUUUACAUUUUUUAAAUUAAUUUAUUUUGUUAUAAAUAGCUAUAAACAUUAAUUCUUCUGUAAAUAAUCGUUUUAUAUUAACUUGUUAUAAAUAAGCGGUUUGAUAUCAAGUCAUAGCAGACGAAUAAAUAAUGCUAUAAAACCAUUUAAAAUAGCAUAAUUUUUUUUAUAAAUAUGAUUCAGUAAAAAAAAAUUUAUUUCCAACAUCAUAUUCUAAAUUUAACUAAAAACACUAUGAAAAAUUAUAUAUUCCUUUAUACUAAGGGAUAAAUUCUAUUAUAAAAUUUUUAAAACAAUAACUGGAACAAGCAGACGCAAGAUAAUUAAAUAAUCGACGCCAUUUUUUGUUUAUUAUUUUUUUAUAAAGCGCAAAAAUUAUUCCGCGUAAAAAAAAAUUUUUUAUAAAUAAAAAUCAUAUGUUUAUUUUCUAUCGCGCAA